rnacentral:tRNA from 1 species
GGACCUUUAGCUCAGAUGGUUAGAGCAGACGGCUCAUAACCGUCAGGCCGUAGGUUCGAGUCCUACAAGGUCCA